rnacentral:rRNA from 1 species
GCGGAUCUUCAUUAGCUUGCUUUUGAAGAUCAGCGGCGGACGGGUGAGUAACACGUGGGCAACCUGCCUGUAAGACUGGGAUAACUUCGGGAAACCGGAGCUAAUACCGGAUAAUCCUUUCCCUCACAUGAGGGAAAGCUGAAAGACGGUUUCGGCUGUCACUUACAGAUGGGCCCGCGGCGCAUUAGCUAGUUGGUGAGGUAACGGCUCACCAAGGCAACGAUGCGUAGCCGACCUGAGAGGGUGAUCGGCCACACUGGGACUGAGACACGGCCCAGACUCCUACGGGAGGCAGCAGUAGGGAAUCUUCCGCAAUGGACGAAAGUCUGACGGAGCAACGCCGCGUGAACGAUGAAGGCUUUCGGGUCGUAAAGUUCUGUUGUUAGGGAAGAACAAGUACCGGAGUAACUGCCGGUACCUUGACGGUACCUAACCAGAAAGCCACGGCUAACUACGUGCCAGCAGCCGCGGUAAUACGUAGGUGGCAAGCGUUGUCCGGAAUUAUUGGGCGUAAAGCGCGCGCAGGCGGUUCCUUAAGUCUGAUGUGAAAGCCCCCGGCUCAACCGGGGAGGGUCAUUGGAAACUGGGGAACUUGAGUGCAGAAGAGGAGAGCGGAAUUCCACGUGUAGCGGUGAAAUGCGUAGAGAUGUGGAGGAACACCAGUGGCGAAGGCGGCUCUCUGGUCUGUAACUGACGCUGAGGCGCGAAAGCGUGGGGAGCGAACAGGAUUAGAUACCCUGGUAGUCCACGCCGUAAACGAUGAGUGCUAAGUGUUAGA